AAAAAAAAAAAAUCUUUUACACAUAUUAUAAAGAUAAUUUUAACAUAAUGAGUGGUUAUAUGUUAGAAGAAACUUGUAGAAGAUAGUUUUCUACUAGAAUUUUAGGAUAAUUUGAGAAAUGUUUUUGUAAGUAAAUUUCCCCUGAAUAAUAUUUUAAAUAGAUUGUUACAUAAAUGAAUCUAACCAGCUAGUCUAUAGCUAGGGGUUGGGAGGACUGCUGGAUUGCAAAGUAGUUUGAAAACGAGUUUCUACAGUUUUAGCACAUUUAACAUUUUUAAUCAAAUGAACAAGGAAAUGUCAGUUUUCUCAUUUUCUUUGAAUCACAAACUUCAGAUCACUCUAAUCUACCGAAAAGCUAUUAAAUGAGUUUGGUCUGUUACAAGAAAUUUUGCUUGCUCUAUCAAGUGCGACCUGAGGCAGGCUUCAAGAGCUUUAAUUGCCGGAUACGUUCCAGCUUACCAGCAAAGGGAAUCUAAGCUGCUGGGCUUACAGAGUUACCCACUAGUAAGUUGCCUAAGCUUACUUAAAAUUGAGAGAUUUACAAUUGUCAGACUCUGUGCUUAGUUUGGAAAUAAAGAUUUAUAGGCAUAAUCCUUGACUUCCAAGUUGUUCGUUGACCUUAUAUCUAGUGCAUUGGAUGCUGAAGAUGUAAUAGGUGUGGAGGAAGAAACUUGGGCUACUGGGAAGGUUGCUGUAGCAGCACUGUGCAGGAUGCAUGAAAAGGGGAGAUGAAUACUUGGUGUCAGACUAGUCAGCUGGUUUCUGGUGUGGUCCAGUUGACAGCUAAGCUGAGGAGGGCUUGCAGAGCAGUAAGCCUAGAAAGGAAAGGGAAUUUUGAAAUGUUUAGGAAAGGGAAGUAAUAAUCUCAAUUCCUGCCUCGUGUGGAUGAAAAGACAGAUAAAUGAGUUUUGUCCAGUCAGUGCUUUCAUUAUGUAAACCCUGAUUCAAAAUCUUAUGUCUGCCACCAAGGCCCCCAUUUUUCCUUCACCCAUCUGACAAAAGUAUUUAGUUGAAGAAUCUUGUUUCUCAAGCUGGAUUUUACUUCAUUCCCCAUUAUCAUUUAUUCAGAUUUUAGUCUGCAGGAGAAAUCCAUUGUGCCCCUACUAAACAGCCAUUAGUUCCAGAAAAUGAUAAAAGGUAGCAUUUGAUGCUAAAUUAAUUCUUUUAGCCUGUUUCCCUUUGGCUUUUUCUAUUACUGAAAAUAGUUUAAAUGUAAAAAGACUGCCUUUCUGAGGUUGCUGGUAAGACCAAGCAUUGGGAGGUAUUUAAGUAGAGCAACAUACAAGCAGCGAAGGGAGGGAUCCAAGAAUUCUCAGCUCUGCGAAGCUCCCCUCAUGCAAAGGACUCGCGCUGUGUGUUGUUCAGUGUGGUGGCCUCUAGCCAUGUGUGGCUUUUGAGCAUUUGAAAUACGGCUGUUGUGACUGGUACUGAAAAAUAUAUUUUUUUUUUGUCAAGCAAAACAAUGAUUUUUAUAGGAUCACAUUUAUCUUUUAAUUGUUGCAUUGUGUAAGAGAACCAUUGCCUUGCUUGCUUGUAUUACACAUAAACACAUUGCCAGAUGAUAUCAAAGAAUUGACUUCAUUCUAACAGUAUUUUGCUACUAACCAAAGUAACAUUAUAGUGUUUAUCUAAAUGUUAUAUGCAGUUACUGUGCCUAUGUAAAUCCUAAUUAGUAGUUAAAGUGAGAUGUAUGUUCUUAUUUUUCUAAUUUAAAAAAUAUAGACGGGGCCAGGUGCGGUGGCUCACGCCUGUAAUCCCAGCACUUUCGGAGGCCGAGGCAGGUGGAUCACGAGGUCAGGAGAUCGAGACCAUCCUGCCCAACAUGGUGAAACCCCGUCUCUACUAAAAAUACAAAAAUUAGCCAGGAGUGGUGGUGGGCACCUUAGUCCCAGCUACUCGAGAGGCUGAGGCAAGAGAAUCAGGUGAACCUGAGAGGCAGAGGUUGCAGUGAGCCGAUACCGUGCCAAUGCACUCCAGACUGGCAACAGAGGGAGACUCCAUCUCAAAUAUAUAUAUAUAUGUGUGUGUGUGUGUGUGUGUGUAUAUAUACACACACACACACAUAUAUACCUGUAUGCACAUAUAUAUACACAUGUACACAUAUAUAUACACAAAUAUAUAUACAUACAAAUUAUUAAAUUUAAAAUCAGUGGUGGCUCAAGCCUGUGUAAUCCCAGCACUUUGGGAGCCCGAGGCGAGUGGAUCUCCUGAGGUCAGCAGUUUAAGACCAGCCUGGCCAACAUGGUGAAACCCCAUCUCUACUAAAAAUACAGAAAUCAGCCCAGAGUGCUGGCAGGCGCCUGUAAUUCCAGGUACUCAGGAGGCUGAGGCAGGAGAAUUGCUUGAACCCGCGAGGUGGAGGUUGCAGUGAGCCAGGACCGUGCCACUGCACUCCAGCCUGGGCGACAAGAGCGAGAAAAAAAAAAAAAAAGUUUAAAAAUCAUGUAUUUGCUAAUGAUUAUUUGCUGAAUUGUGAAGGAGUUUUAAUGAUUCAUUGUCCUAUUGAUUCCAAUUUAAGAUUCUUUUGCAACAAAAGGAAUGCUAACGUGUAUGCAAUAAUCUAAAGCAGAAAAUGUCAGAGUCUGUGGCGCACAUUUUCUCACCAAUAUCACACUGAAUAUGAAUGAACUAAAGUUGAAGCUCCAAGGAAGGGAAAAGCUUAUUUGUGAUGUUCACAGACAGGUACAAGAAUUUAUGUUGAAAUCGAAACUUUAUAAUGCAAAUCCAGAAUAUGGCUUUGACACAUUUUCUAACAUUUAAAAUUUUAAUUGUAAUUUAACAUUUUAUAAAUUGCAAAAACUACAAGUAAAAUUUGAAGAACACUGUUGAUACAUAGAUAAAUUUAGAGUAGCUGCCAAGCGUGGUGGCUCACAUCUGUAAUCCCAGCACUUGGGGAGGGCAAGGCAGAAGGACUGCUCGAGGUUGGGAGUUUAAGACCAGCCUGAGCAAUACAGGGAGACCCUGUCUCAGAAAAAUAAAAUUUAGAGUUUUUUAAAUUAUGCAUUACCCCUUUGAAUUUGAUGUUCAUAUUCUAGAGUCAAUGCAAGUAUUCAUGAGUACUUAGAGAGAAACAAAUAGGUUUGCUACAAAGUUCAGUAGAUUCCUAUAAAACAGAAAUAGCAGGUUUGUUGAUAUGGGUCCAGAAAUGUUUUUAAAUGAUUUUGGGGAUUUGAUUCAAUUAUAAAACAAGUAUAAUUGUUGCAACUUUGGUAUGUGAAUCAAUUUUUAAGAUUCAACUAUAUGAUAUUUAUAGGAGAUGCACUUUAGAUGUAAAGGUUACAAAUAGGCUGAGAGUACAAGGAUGGAAGAAGAUGUCAUGCAAACAGGAACUAUAAAAAUUGGAGCUAUCCUAACGUCAGACAAAAUAGACUAGGAAACAAAAAAUGUUCCUAGAGAUGAAGGAUAUAUCUUCUAAUGAUGAACAACAGCAAACAACAAAGCCCCAAACUACAGGAAGCAAAAGCUGACAGAUUGGAAGGGAGAAAUUGACAAUUCAGCAAUAAUAAAUGGAAAUUUCAGUACCUUUCUCUCAAUAGAACAACUAGGCAGAAAUCGAUGUUAAUAGGAAACACCAACUGAACCUGAUAGAGAAGUAAAACAAUACCAGAAUAUACAUUUCUCCCAGGUGUACAUGGAAUAUUCUCUAGGGCAGAUCAUAUGGGAUGCUAUAAAACAAGCCAUAAUAAGCUCAAAAGGAUUGAAAACAUACCAAAUAUAUUAUCCAAUCAAUGAAGUGAAACCAGGGAAGUUUGAAAAUAUUUUGAAAUAAAUGAAAAGACAAUAUACCAAAACAUGGGAAGCAGUGAAAGCAAUACUUAAAUUUAUAAACACAUUUUAAAAGAAGAUUUUGGGGC
rnacentral:lncRNA from 1 species